rnacentral:rRNA from 1 species
GACGAACGCUGGCGGCGUGCUUAACACAUGCAAGUCGAACGGAAAGUCCCUGCUUUUGUGGGGUGCGCGACUUGCGAACGGGUGAGUAACACGUGAGUUACCUGCCCUUGACUGUGGGAUAAGUUAAUGAAACUUGGGCUAAUACCGGAUAGGAUCUCCUGAUGCAUGGUGGGGGUUGGAAAGUUUCGGCGGUUGGGGAUGGACUCGCAGUGGAUCAGCUUGUUGAUGGGGUGGUGUCUUACCAAGUUUUUGACGGGUAGCCGGCCUGAGAGGGUGAACGGCCACGUUGGCACUGAGAUAGAGCCCACACAGAUACGGAGGCAGCGGUGGGGAAUAUUGCAUAAUGGGAGGAGGCCUGAUGCAGCACAGCAGCGUGCGGGAUGACGGCAUUCGGUUUGUAACCCGCUUCCGCCUGUGCCGAAGCGUGAGUGACGGUAAUGGGUAAAUAAGCACCGGCUAACUACGUG